UAGGUUGAUUCAGGCUUUUGGCUCAAUUUCUGGAGGUACAUAAAAAUUGGGAAAUUAAGGCUUCAAAUUGGCUAACUAAUUGGAAUAAUGUCAAGGUCGGCUUUUAUAAGUAAUAGUGGCUUAAUUCCUAUUGCCUCUUAAAUCAUACUAAUGUAAAUCAAAUGUAUUACUAGACUUAGUAAGAUCUAAAGCAAGUUCUAGAGUAAUUGACAGUUGAUACAAUAAUCACACAUGAAUAAAUAAUCUCUUAAGUUGGCAUAGAUGUCCCAACUUACCCUCUAGGCUCAAACUUCUCACAAGGACCACAUGAUUGAUCAAGUAAGCAGACUAAAA
rnacentral:lncRNA from 1 species